CAAUAGCGUAUAUUAAAGUUGUUGCAGUUAAAAAGCUCGUAGUUGAACUUAUGGCGAUUGCAUAAGCUGGCUUCGGUCGUUUAUGUGGUCGUCAUCCGCUUGGGAACCCCGUUCGGUCUUCAUUGGUCGGCGGGAGGAUCAGGCAUUUUACUUUGAAAAAUAAGAGUGUUCAAGGCAGGCAAUCGCCAUGAAUACACAAGCAUGGAAUAAUGGAAUAGGACUGUGAUCCAUUUUAUUGGUUAUUGGAUUACAGUAAUGAUUAAUAGGGACAGUUGGGGGCAUUAGUAUUUAAUUGUCAGAGGUGAAAUUCUUGGAUUACUUAAAGACUAACUUAUGCGAAAGCAUUUGCCAAGGAUGUUUUCAUUAAUCAAGAACGAAAGUUAGGGGAUCAAAGACGAUCAGAUACCAU
rnacentral:rRNA from 1 species